GAUGAACGCUAGCGGGAGGCCUAACACAUGCAAGCCGAGCGGUAUUGUUUCUUCAGAAAUGAGAGAGCGGCGUACGGGUGCGGAACACGUGUGCAACCUGCCUUUAUCUGGGGGAUAGCCUUUCGAAAGGAAGAUUAAUACUCCAUAAUAUAUUGAACGGCAUCGUUUAAUAUUGAAAGCUCCGGCGGAUAGAGAUGGGCACGCGCAAGAUUAGCUAGUUGGUGAGGUAACGGCUCACCAAGGCGAUGAUCUUUAGGGGGCCUGAGAGGGUGAUCCCCCACACUGGUACUGAGACACGGACCAGACUCCUACGGGAGGCAGCAGUGAGGAAUAUUGGUCAAUGGGUGCAAGCCUGAACCAGCCAUCCCGCGUGAAGGACGACUGCCCUAUGGGUUGUAAACUUCUUUUGUAUAGGGAUAAACCUACUCUCGUGAGGGUAGCUGAAGGUACUAUACGAAUACGCACCGGCUAACUCCGUGCCAGCCGCCGCAGUAAAAC
rnacentral:rRNA from 1 species